rfam:Botryotinia fuckeliana T4 unplaced genomic scaffold BcT4_SuperSuperContig_M4_V3_C__V4, whole genome shotgun sequence.
ACAUACGACCAUAGACUGAGAAGAAUUGGGCAUCCCGUCCGCUCUGCCAUACACAAGCCUCAGAUCGGUAGAUUAGUAGUUGGGUGGGUGACCACCAGCGAAUCCCUACUGUUGUAUGUC